rnacentral:rRNA from 1 species
UCGCUGCAACUGAUUGGGUAAUUUAGCAAAUAGCUUGGAAAGCCUUUGGAAGCAUCUGCUGAUAAUAAGCUGAAAAGUUGUAAGCUAAAAUUAUUUAGAAAUUGCAAAAGUCG